CCCCCAACCUUUAUUAGACCGGAACUGUCCAAAAAGGGAUUGAGAUACCUUAAGGUACUUGACUUUGGUAUAGGCCGGUGAUGUCUAAGGCACUGUAGUUCACUUUUGUACACUUCUGACUGCACAAUCUGGAUAAUCUUUGAUUCUGCUUCUUUUCUAUCCUCUACAGAAGUAGGUUCGUUGUUUUUAUAGUUGACGAAGUGUAAGAUCUUAGCUAUACUUAUAACUAGUCGUUUCCAGGAUGAGAAUUUAAUGAAUCUUCUUGAGAACAGAUCUUCCUGAGACUUUGAUAUGUUGGUGCUAAGUGUUCUUAUCUCUUUAUCUUCUUCUGGGUUACAGAGUUUGAAUACUUGGUCCUUUGGAGGCACAUAUUUUGGAUCCUUUAAAAAGUCAGGACCUUUCAACCAAUGCGAAUUCAUAAGCUCGUGAGCAUAAAUCUCUCUUGUGGCUUGGUCUGCUGGAUUUGAUUCUGAAGAUACGUAGCACCACUGAUUAGGUUUAGUUAUCUGGAGUAUUUGGUCUACUCUAUUGCUAACGUAUACAUGGAAUCUUCGUUGGGUGUUAUAUAUAUAACCCAAAACAAUUUUACUAUCUGUAUAUAGUGUGAUAUCACUGAAAGAUAAGUCUAUUUCUCUUUUAAUUAUUUCUACAAGUUGUGUAGCUAACACUGCUGCACACAGUUCUAAUCGUGGCAUUGUAUGACCAUGUAAUGGUGUCAACUUGGCUUUUCCCAUUACAAACCCUAAAUAGGGCUGGUCUCCUUGCAACACUCUAAGAUAAGCUACAGCGGCAAUUGCUUUGUUGGAAGCAUCCGAAAAUACAUGAAGCUGUAACUGUUUUAAGUUGCCUGAGACAGGCACAUAUUUCCUAAAGACUCCAACUUGUUCUAAAGCUAUAAGAGAAGACGUCCACUUUUCCCAUAUAGACCUCUCUUUUUCUGAAAGAGGUUGAUCCCAAUGUUUCACUGCAUGGGUUAAUUCUCUCAUCAGGCAUUUUCCUUUAAUAACGACUGGUGCAGCAAAACCAAGUGGAUCAUAGAUGCUGUUUAUGACAGAUAAUAUACCUCUGCGUGUAAAGCUCUUUUGGGUGUUUGGUACUCGAAAGAUGAAUUUAUCUUCCAGGAUGUGCCAACAUAAGCCUAGACUUCUUUGAACCGGCAUAAACUCUUGUCCCAGUUCUAGUGUUUCCAUCCCCUUUGCUCUAUCUUCUUUGGGAAAGGCUAAUAAAACUUCGAGGCAGUUCGAAACUAUUUUAUGUAAUUUUAUGUUGGCUGUGGCUAACAUUUGUUUGGCUUUCUUAAGAAGGUAGAUUGCUUCUUGAGGAGUAGAUGUUGACUUUAAAGCAUCAUCUACAUAGAAAUCUCUGCAAACAAACUCACAUACUUCUGAUCCAUAUUCAUGUUCUAAGAGUUGUGCUGUUCUUUUUAGCGCAUAGUUUGCUAUGGCUGGUGAUGGACUAUUACCAAAGACAUGAACACACAUCCGGUAUUCCUGUAUUUCAGACAUUUGCUGGGGGUCCUUGAACCACAGGAAACGAAGAAAGUCUCUAUGGUCAUUUCUGACCCAAAAGGAAUAGAACAUUUGUUGGAUGUCUGCCAUAAUUGCAACUGCUUCUUUCCUAAAACGUAGAAGUACGCCAAGAAGAUUGUUGAUUAAAUCUGGGCCUGUCAAUAGAACUUUAUUUAGAGAUGUUCCUUUAAAUAGGGCACUAGAGUCAAACACUACUCUGACUUGUUGGGGCUUUUGUGGAUGGUACACCCCAAAGAACGGUAGGUACCAACAUUCUUGCUGCUCUUUGAGGUUAGGAGCCCUCUCUGCAUGACCUCUAUCUAUCAUAGUGUUAAUGAAUGCAAUAACAUCUUUCUUUAAUUGAGGUUUUUUCUCCAUGUUCCUCUGGAGAGCAUUGAGGCGUUGCAUCGCCAUGAUGCGAUUAUUAGGCAGUCUGUUUCUAUCCUCUUUGAAGGGUAAGGGUGCAACCCAGUUACCUUUUUUAUCUUGAACACAUUCUUUCUCCAUUAUGUCUAGGAAACGCCGGUUUUCUUUGGACAAAGCUAUUAGGUUGUCAUGAACUGUAGUCCUAAAUACUGAAGAUUCUGAACUCUCGGUGUUUUGGAAACGUAUUUGGAUGUGAUUCGGACAAUCUAACAUCUGUGUAGGACGUCCAUUUGGCAUGAAGCCUGUGCAAAAGGUUCGAGCAUGAGAAGGCAACCUUUUGCGGUUUAAACAUACUGGACCUAGGAUAGUCCAGCCUAUCUCUAGUUCUUGAGCUAUUGGUGCUCCUGGUCGACCUUUUAUUUGCUUUUUAACUGAAAACAAGUCUGGACAGUCUAUACCAAUAAGCAAAAGAAUCUUUGCGCCAGGGUCGAAUCUUGGUAACUUAUGUGCCAUGGAUCUUAGGUGUGCAUGACUCAUAGCUAUUUCUCUUGUAGGGAUUUGUCUUUCAUCUUUAGGUAUAUUUUGGCAUUCUAUGAACGUUGGUAACCUAAAUUGUUUCAUGCCAUCAAUAGUCCGGAGGAUGAAUCCAGAUGCUACUCUCCCCACCAUGACCUGAUCUCCACCACAAGUAGUCAUAACGUAUUCUACCUCUUUUGAUUGAAUUUGAAAGAUGUUAAAGAAUUCAGGUGUUGCUAGGGAGGUGUCACUUUGAGAAUCUAAGGCAACGUACAUGCGUUUAACUUGAUCUGGAGAGUUUUCAGGGUAGACAUCUACCAAGCAAAUAGGAUGACAUGUUCGUUCUUUUCCUGCUUCUCCACACAAAGCUGUGCAAGUUGAUGUUGCUAUCUUAAUCUCCUUAGGUUGUGGUGUUUCCACAAGAAUACAUUCUGACUUUUCAGAGUUCUUUCCUUUCUGAUGAGGUGUUGUUUCGCGAUGUAGUGCAGAGCAGUGUUUUUCACUAAAGCAUUCUUGACAUUUCACUUUUCUCCUGCACUCCUUGGCUAUGUGGUUUCUAAAAGUACCACAUUUAAAACAAAGUCUUUGAUCUCUGGCAAAGGUUAAACGCUCUUCAUAAGGUUUGCUCCUGAAUUCUUUGCAGUUAUUCAGAUCAUGUGCUAUUUGGUGUACUGGACAUAUUACUCCUGCUGAUGUCUUUGUGUGAUGUUCAACUGAUUUGACCUUGGUUUCAGUUUUUCUAACUGUGACUUGUGGUUUGCUUUUGGUUUCUAUGAAAUGUUUCUUAUCCUUUUUAUUACUUUGAUAUAAAAGAGGAAACCCCGUUUGCAAAUCAUUCUUCUCUCUAGCUGAUCUUAAGAGAAACUUCACUAAAUGUGUAAAUGGUGGGUAUUUCCGUUGAUGAGUUUCUUUAUAAGAGAAAACUUCCCGGCCCCAUACCUCCUUCAGUGAGAAAGGCAGUUUAUCAAUAAUCUCUUGUUGUGUUAAAUAUUGAUCUAAACAUGCAAGCCCUGGUAAAUCUGGAUUUCCCUUAGCUGCCUCCAAUUCUUCAAGCAAAUCUGCAUAAUCCCAUAAUUUCUCAUAUUCCCCUUUUGUAAAUGCAGGAAACGAUUUAAGCUUUUGCAGAAGCAACGUUUCUAUCUGUGCAGAUGAUCCAUAACGUUCAUUGAGACGGUCCCACACUCGAUUUAAGGCUGCAUGUGGGUUAUUUAUGUUUGCUGCAUAAAUUCUCUUCACCUGUAUGGAAGAAGCAGGUCCCAACCAAGCGAUCAAUAAAUUUAACUCUUCCUCUACAGGCAAUUUUAGUUGCUUGAGAGCUGACUGAAAUGUAUUCUUCCACAACAUAUAAUCCUCUGGCUUAUCAGAGAAUUUCUGAAUGCCUCUGUCUGCUAAGUCCCUUCUUGGGUUUCUGUAGGAGGUGUAAUUUAAAAUAUCAAGUGGGACUGAGGACUGUUGCAAAGUUGGUUCAGAGUUAGUUUGGAUCUGGGGGUUUUCUGGAACCCAACUAGCUGCUUUGGGAUUGAGACUGAAUGCAGUUGUUGGCAUUGUGUAGUUUGACUGUAUUGAGUCCUGUGUGUCUACUGGAAAACUGUGCUCUAACUUGGUUUGAGAUAUAUCAUGCAAUGGAACUGCUGCUUGACUUGCUACUUCUGCAUACGGCAAAUAAUGUUCUUUGGGUGCAGAAACCUCUAUAAUUUCUGGUUGUGAUACAAAAGAAUUAUUUGCUACUGCACUUUCUCUUGUUAGCACAGGAGGGGCUGCAAUAUUGAUAAUUUGGGUAUUUAAAUAAGAAUCCACUUUUGUGACAGGAUCUUCUGUUGUAACAUCUGGAGGGAAUGUAUUUCCUAAGAGACCUUGCUCUAGGACUGAGGCCUUUACUUGUAACACCUCAGCCUUUGCAACCUGUGCUAACGUUGCUAGAGCAGCUUCUGUUUUAACUUGACGGGCCUUAUUUUCUGCAUCCAUACCUGCAUGCUUGGCAGCGGCUGCUGCCUGCUCAGCGGCAGCUGCGGCUUCCAUUUCUGCCUUCUUGGCAGCGGCUGCGGCUUCCAUUUCUGCCUUCUUGGCAGCGGCCAAGGCAUCCAGUUCUGCCUUCUCUGCAACAAUUUGCUGUCUUUUCUUAAGAAACUCUAUUUGUUUUACUGCGGCAGCUGCCUCGGCCCUAGCCUUUAUGACCAGACUAAGGGAUUGGCCAGAAGAACCACUAUGAACAGAAGUCCCUCUUGUUCUUUCUGUUCUAUGGGAUGUGUGAGAUGAUCUUGAUUUGCCUGCUAAUGUACACACAGACCUGUUUGACUUUGUAUCUGUGUCUUUACUAAACAUGUGUUGCACUUGUUCUUCAUCAACAGUUUCCAUAAGGGAGGCAGGGUCUUCUUCUGCCUGACCUUCUGAUAUUUUGUUAGAUAAAUCAUUCAUGAUGGUAUCAAAUUCUAGUUCCCUUCUCUCUCUCUCUGACAACAUUUCUUCCUUAUUACUUAAAGAUUCUGAUGUUUUCAUAUGUUCAAGCAAAGAGAUUAUAUUAUCUGAAUAUGUUAUCCACUCACAGUAUUGAUGUUGUAAUCUUUCCUUACAAUCUAAUAUUUCUUUCUGCUGCCUAAAGCGAUGGCUUGCUUGACUCAUAUCUAAAAUUCUCUGCCAUGACUUCUGAUAUUUAGGUUUCAAGGAAUCUAGUUUAUCUUGCCAGAAGGACAACAUUUUUGAGGUAGGUUUAGAUAUUCUGCUCUUUUGUGAGGAAGAAGCAGACAUCUUUAAGUCUUCUGAAGUUUGUGUCACUUUAUAUUAGACUGAAUUGCUUUUGGACAGAAAGGACUGAAUAGCCUAUUCUCCGUUACUUUGGAAUGUAGGUCUUUUAUUCUCCUGUUGCUGUCCGUUACUAAUAGUCCCUUAAAUAAAGUGAUCACUAACUUUUAAGAUUCUCAGUCCUUUUACUGAGACUUAAAGCUUUUUAGACUUAAAAAUAACUAUUGUGGUCCUGAAAACCACAUUUUCCUCCAAAAGGGCUUCCCUCAGGUUCCUUCAAAAUGGCGCUGCCCUCUAUGACUGCACUCUCUCUACAGUCAAAAUGGCUGCUUAACUCCUUCUUCUUCUGAGGUAGUUUUCACUUCUCCUCAGGAAGCUUGAAGGAAAGAAAUUCACUUUUACUUGGGAAGGUCAAAGGAAAGAAAUUCACUGUUCUGCCUCCAUGCUUAAUUAAAUGAACUGGAAGGACUCAUAGCACGAAGGACAGAUUGGAGACUGUAGUUGUGAAACAAAAUAUUUUAUUAAUAGACAAAAUUGAUCUCUUUUCCUCUUGAUGCCACUAUGAAGUCUCUUGUGAGGAAAGAAAUCUUUGAGUCUAUGCAGUUCUGGAUAGAUAUUGCCACAGAGUAUAAAGUCUUGUUAUGACUGGAUUCUUUGUAUCUUUGAGAUGAUUUCAAUGCAGUGUUGUUGACAUGGCUUUCUCUAUUGCUGUAGUCUAUGGCUUUUUAAUCUAAUUUGAAUACAGUUCCAA